UACGGAGGGUGCGAGCGUUGUCCGGAAUCAUUGGGCGUAAAGGGCGCGUAGGUGGCGGGACAAGCGUGCGGUGAAAGCUCGGGGCUCAACCCCGAGUCGGCCGUGCGAACUGUUUUGCUUGAGCACUGUAGAGGCAGGCGGAAUUCCGGGUGUAGCGGUGAAAUGCGUAGAUAUCAAGAGGAACACCUGAGGUGAAGACGGGUUGCUGGGCCGACACUGACGCUGAGUGCGCGAAAGCCAGGGGAGCAAACAGG
rnacentral:rRNA from 1 species